ensembl:lncRNA
AUGCAGGGACCCAGGAUUUCGGGAUGCAGGGACUCGGGAUGCAGGGAGGCAGUGACGAAGGGACCCGGGAUUUCAGGGUGCAGGGACCCAGGAUUUCGGGAUGCUGUGAUGCCGGGACCCGGGAUUUCGGGAUGCAGGGACCCGGGAUGCAAGGAAGCAGGGAUGCAGAGCGGCAGGGAGGCAGAGACCCGCGAUUUCAGGAUGCAGGCACCCGGGAUCUCAGCGUGCCGUGAUGCAGGGCGAUUUCGGGACGCCCGCUCUCGCCUUGGGGCGGCCCGAGCGGGCAGCGGGCUUCGUAGAAACCCCCCCCCCCCAGACAACGAGCAGCGGGCAGCGGCCCCCAGGAACCCCUCCAGCGACCCCUUAACCCUGCUGCUCGCCCCGACCCCGGCCCCGACCCCUGCCCGGUGCCUCCUCACCUGGCCCCGCCGCCGCCUCCAUGCUCCCGCCGCCCGCCGGGGCCGCGCCGCAGCCGGUAGCGCCCGCUCGCGGGGGCGGCGGCGGCGGCGCGGGCACGCGCACGCGGGCACGCGGACGGACAGACAGGGACGGACAGACAGAGGGACGGACAGACAGAGCCCCCAGAGCCAUCCAAACCCCGUCCCUAGCUCGUGUCCCCUUUCCUCGUCCCGGUCCCGGCGAUGCGCGGUGACCCCCGGGGGUCCCGGGGCUGCUCCCCCCGGGGCUGCUCCAUCCCCCCGAAGGUCCCGGUUUGGAGCAAUUUGGGUGCGAACAGCCGGCAGGAAUGCGGAGAGCAAAGAAAGAGCAUCGCCACGGGGGCCUACACGAACCCGGGGGGCUUCGUGCGGUGCAGUCACUGCAGUCUCCGCUUAUUCCACACGCGGCACCGGGGCCCCGAGCUGCUGGCUGUAAUUAAAAAGAAGAAAAAACGAUGGGAUCUGCAAGGUAGUGAUGAGCUGGGGCACUUCCAGCUUUUAAUUCCCUCUGCCCCGAUCCACGUGACGGAUUACUCGGGGCAUAGAGCGAGCUGGAGCGCUGCUGCCCCUAAUGCUCCAGUGCUUUUACUGGGGGACGCUACACGGGGAAACGAGAAUGACUUUCUGUGCAACAGCCAGCUUCGUCUACAGCGUCUGAGCUGCCUUUUUAACUUUUUAUUGUAGAUUUUACCAAAUAAAGGAGCUGGCUGUAAGGCAGGACCCAAAGAGCAUCAUGGAGUUCAAGCCAAAAAAACAUUGGGGGGGGGGAUUUCCUCCCAUUGCAGUGGGAAUGCUCCAGCUCCUCUCCUUCCUCCCCAUCGUGCCCAGUAAUUCCAGAGGCUCCCAUGGACAAACCCCAGGUCAAACACCAACCCGUUACUGCCUUGGCAUGGGGAAAGGGCUCAUGCACAGCCCAGCGCAGUGGCCGUCGGGCAAAACUCACAGACAAGACACUGCCAGCAGAGGGAUAAGCAGGAGAAAAAUUUUAUUUACAUCUUUCGAGCAGCAGCACAGCGGUGGCCACUCCCCAGGAAGAAGCUGCAGGAGCAAACAGGGGCACGGGCUCCCACUGCCCCCCACGCGGCACCUUGGUCCUUGCAGGAUGCUGGAGGGAAGGGGAUUCAGCACGGAGCCAAAGGAAAACACGGCAGGGAGGGAAGGCGAGGGGCUGGGUGUGUGCCGCUGCGGGGUUUGGUCUAUGAAAGUGCACAGUACAACAAUUCUUGUAGAAAAAUCCAUCCCGAGGGGCUGGAGGCAUGCGUGGUCGCAGGGCUUCUGCAUCUACAGAAGGGUUCAGAGCCUUGAAAACAAGUGCUCAGGGUCUUUCCUGGGGCAAACCCAACCGCAGGCCCCGGGCUGGGCAACACAUGGGGGUGGAUGCUGCUCUGCAGAUGCCCAACGGCUUCUGGCUCCGUUAUCAGGAGAGAGCCAGAGCACAGCUGCCUCUGACUGAGCCAGCAACCGUCAGGGGCUCCUCUGGCAGCAUUAAGAUGUGCUGAAGUUUUGCACAAGCAGCCAAAAACAAACCCCAAAGUCGGUUCCCCCUGCCCUGCCAGAGACCUGCUCUCCCAGCAACAAAACAGCCGACACUUCAGCACCAGAAACUUACCCAGGCUGCUCUAAUUGAUGGCACGGGGGUGGGGUAGCGACAGCUUUUCUGCAUCCCUGCUUCGCUGCCCAGCUCCACCGGGGCAGGCAGCUCAGCAAAGCAUUCUCCAAAGUGGAUGCUAAACUCUGUGCUUUUUUUUUUUUUU